rnacentral:lncRNA from 1 species
AGGUAGAGGGCUGGCAUCAUUAGGAACUCUUCAGCAGCUGAUAGCAAAGAAGUGGGAGGACAGCGGAAGGGACUAGGGAGUAAACCUAGCCAGAUGAGUGCGCUGGUAGAGUAGAGGAUUUCGCUGGAAAGCGAGCACGCGCGAUGAGAUGGGUGAAAGAGCAGGUUUAUCAGCUACUUAGGAACUCUGGGAUGGUCCGUGUGGAAAGUAUGGGUAGAUGUGGCAGGUAGUAUGGGCCCGUACUACUGAAAGCAGAGGACCCAUACUUGAUACAGGGGGCAUUCUAAAGGUCCUAAGGAACAGAUUGAGGGGUGAUGUUAUGGUUCGGAUACCAUACAUCGGAGCGGAUACAGAGUGAUGUUAUGGUCCGGGCACCAUACAUCGGAACAGAUUGAGAUAGAUGUUGUGGUCCGAGUGCUAUACAUUGGAGCAGAUUGAGGAGUGGUGCUAUGGUUCAGGUACCAUACACUGAAGCAUGUUGAGGAGGGAUGUCAUGGGAUGAGUACCAUGGUUCGUAGUGGAUGAUGCUUGUGGCUAUCUUGUUAUCCGGUUAU